GACGAGCGGCGGACGGGUGAGUAAUGUCUGGGAAACUGCCUGAUGGAGGGGGAUAACUACUGGAAACGGUAGCUAAUACCGCAUAAUGUCGCAAGACCAAAGUGGGGGACCUUCGGGCCUCAUGCCAUCAGAUGUGCCCAGAUGGGAUUAGCUAGUAGGUGGGGUAACGGCUCACCUAGGCGACGAUCCCUAGCUGGUCUGAGAGGAUGACCAGCCACACUGGAACUGAGACACGGUCCAGACUCCUACGGGAGGCAGCAGUGGGGAAUAUUGCACAAUGGGCGCAAGCCUGAUGCAGCCAUGCCGCGUGUGUGAAGAAGGCCUUCGGGUUGUAAAGCACUUUCAGCGGGGAGGAAGGCGUUAAGGUUAAUAACCUUGUCGAUUGACGUUACCCGCAGAAGAAGCACCGGCUAACUCCGUGCCAGCAGCCGCGGUAAUACGGAGGGUGCAAGCGUUAAUCGGAAUUACUGGGCGUAAAGCGCACGCAGGCGGUCUGUCAAGUCGGAUGUGAAAUCCCCGGGCUCAACCUGGGAACUGCAUUCGAAACUGGCAGGCUAGAGUCUUGUAGAGGGGGG
rnacentral:rRNA from 1 species